rnacentral:rRNA from 1 species
CCCUUAGAUGUUCUGGGCCGCACGCGCGCUACACUGAUGCAUUCAACGAGCACCCGCUGGGCCGAGAGGUCCGGCUAAUCUUUGAACGUGCAUCGUGCUGGGGAUAGAUGAUUGCAAUUAUUCAUCUUCAACGAGGAAUUCCUAGUAAACGCAAGUCAUCAGCUUGCAUUGAUUACGUCCCUGCCCUUUGUACACACCGCCCGUCGCACCUACCGAUUGAAUGGUCCGGUGAAAUCUCGGGACGGCGGCUUGGUCGCUUGCGUCCGACUGCUGAAACUUGAUUAAACCAUAUCAUUUAGAGGAAGGUGAANUCGUAACA